AGUCCUUGGAAUCUGUCUUGAUGGCUCUUCUGCUGCAGCAAUGGCUUACCUAUCCUUAAUGCAGUCUCUAAGGCUGACAGGUGUUGGGGGAAAAAGAUCAUGGAACUCUUUGGGCUGCAGACAUGGCAGCUCUAGGUUAGCAACCUCUGGGGAGCAGAAGAUGCACGUGAUUGCUCUGCAAGGACCUUUGUUUUGGGUACAUCCCUUCCCACUCUGGCCAAGAAACUCGGGCUGAGACCCAUUCUGUUUUCUGGCCAGUGAUGCUCAGGCAUUCGGAGCAACCCUGGGAGGCCCUCUUCCAUUUUUCUUCUCCUGUGAAAGAGCAUCUUACAGAUAACCCUUCCCUGAGACCCUAAGGACCACAGUCUCCUGCUCCUCCUCUCGUGGCUCUAGAAAGAGCCUAUAGAGCAAGGUGCAGAGUCAAAGCCAAAAGAAAAACUGUUCUGGACCUGUUCCUUCUUGAACAGACAUAAUUUACUCCACCUCUCUGGUACUUCGGUUUCUCAGAGGGCUUCCAAGACAUGGGACGCAGAGGCGAAGCAAGUAUAUAGGAGCAACUUUGCCAGCUCCCUCCGGACACCAGACUACUGGGUACAAAGCCCUUCUAUACCUCCAACCUGGCAUCAACUCUGAGAGGGAACUUGCAGCCUGAGUUCCAGCUUGUAUCAAGUAAACCCUCAUGUGUUUGCAGCAGAGUCAAUUCCUGGUGGUCUUUGAGGGUCUCACGAACUGUACAUAACAGUCAGAAGCUUCAACAUCUUUGCAUCCACCUCCACUCAUCAUAAGAGACAAAAGGCUGAGCAGAACAAGGGAAGGGUGAUUACAAAUACCUGGGCCUAGUCUGGAGCCUGGAGUAGCCAUGAGGAAGUUCAGCUGUCCCCAGACAUCUUGAACAAUACAGAGCCAGACCCUGCAGAACCCACCUCUAACCCCACAGGACACACAGCAUUCUCCUGGUCUUCCAGACACUAAGAAUGGCCCCCAAGUACCUACUGAAGUCUGGGGCUUAAGGCCAUAGUAGAUCUCCUUGUCCUAGCAACCUCAGAAUACAGGAGUUGAGAUUUGAGAACAGACUAGACCCCUUUCCUAGGGAAAGGAAGGAAAAGGAUUUCUUGGAAGUCCUUGUUGCUCGCCAAGUCCCUGUUGUUGUUCCUGAAAGGACACUGCACACAGCCCUUCCCAGUGGACACUCAGACUCUGACCUUGGCCUACAAGCUCUUUAAUGUGACCCAAACAGACCAUUUUAAAGCUUUCUGGCUGUGUGUCCCACCUGGGACCAACUCAGAACUACUGAAGACAGCUUCUCCGGUGAUUCUGUCAAGUAACCUUCACCAUUCACUAACUGCCCUGACUCUGAUGUUGCCACAACCUCCUACCUUUUUCAUAUCACUCUCUUUGGUGUGGCAAGCUGUUUUAAGGCAUCUGGGACUCUGUAGAAAUGCUAAGUUCCUUAGACUGUAAUAAAACUAUAAUCCUUGAUACCUCAUCUCAACCCCAGUGCCCUACUGCUAAUAAUACCUCGAUUCUUUGUGGUACUCAGGUCUACCAUCGUCUGCCUGCUGGUUGGCCAGGAGUUUGCAUACUGGUGCUCCUCUUCCCCGAGCUGGGGGUGAUAAAUGAAAAGGAGCCCCUACCAACCCCAGCCACAGACUCAAUAAGAAGACAAUUCAGAUCUUGCCCCUCUUGACUAUUGCAAGAAUCACGGCAGCUUUCGGGACCGGGACAGCAGGACUAGCCACUUCACUAACUCUGUAUUAUCAGCUUUCUUCCAAGUUCAUCCAGGACCUCCAGGAAGUGGCUCAGACAAUACUAACUCUCCAAGGACAGACUGACUCCCUGGCAGCAGUAGUACUUCAAAACCGAUGUGGAUUGGAUCUCCUCACAGCUAACGAAGGUGGCUUUUGCAUCUUCCUCCAGGAGGAAUGCUGUUUUUAUGUCAACCAGUAGGGAAUAGUGAAAGACAAAAUCCAACAACUCCAGACAAAUCUACAAAAGUGAAGAGAACAGCUCAAGGCCUCUAGCUCUUGGGCCUUCGAGAAUCCCAUAUGGAAAUGGAUUCUGCCCUUCCUCACACCUCUCCUGCUUUUGCCUUUUGCACCCUGCUUUAUUAACUUCUCUACAUUUCUCCAACAACAAAUCCAAGAAUUCUCUAACCAAAUCAUUAAUCAGUUACUCUUACAGGAUUAUCAACCUCUGCCCACAGAACCAGAUGACAAUGACCUUCCAAUCAACCCUGAUGGUGGGGACCAGCUGUACCCUGAGAAAGACAACGCCCCUAAUCAGCAGGAAGUAACUAGAAGAGCACAGGCGACCCCUAUGCCCUCCCCACCAUCACCCCCUUCCUGGCUCCUCACUUUUUAAUAAAACAAAAAGGGAAGAAUGUUGGGAUCCACAGGCAGGCAUCUCUAUGGCCAGCCCCAAGGGACCUGACAAAUGGGACAUCAGGCAUCUGUGAGGCCAUCUAUGGACCACCUGAAAACACCUGCACCUGCUCUGGGUCACCUUACAAGAGAACUUGCACCACCAUCUCCCUUUCUCUCUCUCUCCCACCUUGCCCAGAGAUUGUCUCUGUGACCCCCUCCCCUUCCCUAAAUAAACCUCCCACUCGG